rnacentral:rRNA from 1 species
AUUGAACGCUGGCGGCAUGCUUUACACAUGCAAGUCGAACGGUAACAGGUCUUCGGAUGCUGACGAGUGGCGAACGGGUGAGUAAUGCAUCGGAACGUGCCCAGUCGUGGGGGAUAACGUAGCGAAAGCUACGCUAAUACCGCAUACGAUCUAUGGAUGAAAGCGGGGGACCUAAGGCCUCGCGCGAUUGGAGCGGCAGAUGUCAGAUUAGGUAGUUGGUGGGGUAAAGGCUCACCAAGCCAACGAUCUGUAGCUGGUCUGAGAGGACGACCAGCCACACUGGAACUGAGACACGGUCCAGACUCCUACGGGAGGCAGCAGUGGGGAAUUUUGGACAAUGGGCGCAAGCCUGAUCCAGCAAUGCCGCGUGCAGGAUGAAGGCCUCGGUUGGUAACGUAG